rnacentral:rRNA from 1 species
UAGUCAUAUGCUUGUCUCAAAGAUUAAGCCAUGCAUGUCUAAGUAUAAACGAUUCUAUACAGUGAAACUGCGAAUGGCUCAUUAAAUCAGUUAUAGUUUAUUUGAUAGUACCAUACUACUUGGAUAACCGUGGUAAUUCUAGAGCUAAUACAUGCAAAAAAACCCGACUUCUGGAAGGGUUGUAUUUAUUAGAUAAAAAACCAACCCGGGCAACCGGUUUACUGGUGAUUCAUAAUAACUUCUCGAAUCGCAUGGCCUUGAGCCGGCGAUGUUUCAUU